rnacentral:rRNA from 1 species
GAUGAACGCUGGCGGCGUGCCUAAUACAUGCAAGUCGAGCGAACAGACGAGGAGUUUGCCCCUCGGACGUUAGCGGCGGACGGGUGAGUAACAUGUGUAUAACCUACCUAUAAGACGGAGAUCACUUCGAGAAACCGGAUCUAACACCGGAUAAUAUAUUGAAGCGCAUUGUUCAAUAGUAAAAGACGGUUGUGCUGUCACCUAUAGAUGCAUCCGCGUCGCAUUAGCUAGUUGGGAAGAUAACGGCUUACCAAGGCGACGAUGCGUAGCCGACCUGAGAGGGGGAUCGGCCACACGGGAACUGAGACCCGGUCCAGACUCCUACGGGAGGCGGCAGUAGGGAAUCUUCGGCAAUGGGCGAAAGCCUGACGGAGCAACGCGGCGUGAGUGAUGAAGGUCUUCGGAUCUUAAAACUCGGUUAUUAGGGAAGAACAAAUGUGUAAGUAACUAUGCACGUCUUGACGGUACCUUAUCAGAAAGCCACGGCUAACUACGUG